GACGAACGCUGGCGGCGUGCUUAACACAUGCAAGUCGAACGGAAAGGCCCUGCUUUUGUGGGGUGCUCGAGUGGCGAACGGGUGAGUAACACGUGAGUAACCUGCCCUUGACUUUGGGAUAACUUCAGGAAACUGGGGCUAAUACCGGAUAGGAGCUCCUGCUGCAUGGUGGGGGUUGGAAAGUUUCGGCGGUUGGGGAUGGACUCGCGGCUUAUCAGCUUGUUGGUGGGGUAGUGGCUUACCAAGGCUUUGACGGGUAGCCGGCCUGAGAGGGUGACCGGCGACAUGGGGACUGAGAUACGGCCCAGACUCCUACGGGAGGCAGCAGUGGGGAAUAUUGCACAAUGGGCGGAAGCCUGAUGCAGCAACGCCGCGUGCGGGAUGACGGCCUUCGGGUUGUAAACCGCUUUCGCCUGUGACGAAGCGUGAGUGACGGUAAUGGGUAAAGAAGCACCGGCUAACUACGU
rnacentral:rRNA from 1 species